AAAUUUCAAAUGGAGGUACAACCCCUCUGAAUUACCACUUAGACAGUUUGCAGACCUCCAAGAGUCUUCAGACCACAGGCUGAAAACCACUGUCCUAGAGAGAUCACCUCAGUGAAAGCUGACAGAAAUCAGCAUAACUCCACAAUGAAACUACACUGAUUUAGAACAGCUGAAGAUAUGACCUGAAAACUAGAGCCAAUUCAGCUUACAAAGACCACUGAUCUCACUUACAAGUAACAGCUUUCAGUCACUUCCAGCAUUAUCAAGACACAAGCUAGUGAUGUAAAGGUAAUCAGCUAUAGCUUGUUAGGAACCCUCUCUGAGAUCCAAACAGAUGUGGCUCAUGGGCUCUUUACACAUCUUCUCCGAGACGGAUAAAGUACAAUUCAAUGUCAAAAUAGCCUGUCACCGGGUUUACAUUAUGCAACAAAUUGAACCAGGCAAAUACUUAAAUUAAUUACUUCUAACAUGACACUAGAAGAUGCAAGGAAACUAAAAUAUAUCCUAAUAUUUACAUUUUCCAGAACUUCUCCUUUGUUCUACCUCCUCACUAUCAUGUAUUGGCACAAUCUAUCAAGCAGCACAAUCUAACAUGCAUUUAACAAUUUUGUUGUCUUUGACUGAUGUUGUAGCACUCAAAAGUGUAGUGUCUCAUGGACUUCAAUGCAUUUUGAAUCAGGCUCUGUAUAACUUUGUUAUAAACCUAGACCCACUGAAAUAAGCAGGAUUUUUGCCAUCUGCUACCAGGAUGUCAACCGAAGUCACUGUACCAGUGAACUUAAGGCUAUCUAAAGGUACAUGUUUAAGCAAUGGCCUCAAGUAGAAAGGAUCAACACAGUUGCUCCUAAAAUUUGCAAGUGAAAGAAGAAUACCAGAUAGAACUCUACACUAAAUUUUGAGCACUAGGAGAUAUGGAAGAUACAGAUACCAAAGAGAGACAGGAAACAUUCAGUAGAACAGUGAAGGAAGCAGCAGUAAAUAAGAUGGGAGUAAGACUGAAAAACAAAAAGAAAAAUUGAUAUCAAGAUUACUGCAGAGAAAUUGAGAAAUGAAUAAAGAAAAAGAAACAAAAAUAUUUAAAACAAAAAGUUGCUACAAUGGAAGAGAAAAUAUUAAUCAAGACUUAUUUAAAGGAGCUGAUGAAUGAACUUGAGGCUACCAGCCAAGGUUGACAGUGAUCUAUGACAAAAAUGGGAACCUGAUGAUAGCAUGACAAGAAAUCCUGAAGGUUUGGAAAGACUAUUUCAACGAACUUCUAAACAGAGUAUGAAAAUGAAGGAAGUGUUGCUGAAUACCAAACUGAUGAAGUCAAAGUAGUAGAGCCUUCAUUAGAGGACAUACAGAUUCAAGUUAAAAAAAAAAUAGAAACAAUAAACCACCAGGGAUUGACAAUAUUCCAGCCUAAAAAUCAGAUUUGAAGCAUUAAAGUACCACCUUCACAAGAUGAUUAAAAAGACCUGAAGAGAAGAAAGAACACCUGAACAAUGGAAACAGGCAAUAAUAUGCCUAAUUUACAAAAAGGGUGAUCAAAGAGAGGGUAAUAACUACUGAGGUAUCUCCUUACUGUGCACAACAUAAAAAGUUUUCUCAACUGCUGCUAAACCAAUUGCUCCCAUUUGCACAAGAAGUUGUGCAAGAUUACCAGCAUGAAUUCAACAAAGAGAGAUGAACCAGUGAUCAGAUAUUGUCAAUAAGACUGCUGCUGGAAAAAAAUGGGAAGCUGUGAAAGAUGUACAUCAGGUUUACAUAAACUUUGUCAAAGCUUCUGAGUAUAUUAGAAGAGAGUCACUAUGGUCAGUCAUGUUGGGUUUGGAACGCCCCCCCAAAAAUGGUGCACCUUAUUAAGAUGUGCAUUGAAGGAUCAAGAUGUCACCUGAGAAUCAAGGGAAUACUAUCAGACCAGACAGAAAUCAGUAGUGAGCUCAAACAAUGGGAUGCACUAUCAUUGAUGCUUUCCAACAUGAAGCUUAAGAAGGUUAUAAGAGCUGCUGAAGAAGGAGAAAAAGGUCUGCAGCUGAACAGACUGAGCCAGGUAUUUACAUAGACAGAUAAUAUCUAUCUAGUAAGAGAGGUAAUGGAAACAGUACAAAAGAAUAUAGAGAUCAAGAAGUUGGGGUUGCUGUCAAAGUCAGCAAUACUACAUACAUGAUCACAUCCAGAAAUAGACCUCAAGAUCACAGAAAGAUAAGAAUACGGAAUAACAAUGUGGAAAAGUUAGAGAGAUUUAAAUAUUUUGGAACAGUAAUGACUGAGGACAAGCAAAUAACUGAUGAAAAUCAAGGCAAGAAUUUACAGUGCUGAGAUAUACCUGUUGAACCUGCAUAAAAUAAAAGCAUCAAGGAAGAUCUCAAAGUUAAAAUCCAGCUUUAUGGUACAAUUGUUCAACCUGUCCUUUUAUAUGGAUGUGAAUCAUGGACACUGACAAAGGCAAACAGAAAAAGGCUCAAGUGUUUGAAAACAAAGCACUAAGAAAAAUAUUUGGUGCACUACAAGAAAACAGAAUAUGUAGGAGAAAACAUAAGAAUUUGUGAACCUCACCAGAACACCUGAUGUCUUGAGCAAGAUAAAAAUGAAAUAGGCAGGGCAUAUUGAAAACCAACAAGAGAAGGCACAUAAAGCAGAUUUGGGAAGCUGAGGUGCAAUCCUGUGAGGUGCAGAUUACAACUGACUUUUUUUUUUUUUCCCCCCACAAGUAAUCCAACUGGGAUUUUCCCAUUAUAAAUUUAAGAUCAUGUGACCAGUUGCCAAUGUAGCAAAUACAGAACUCUGAAUUUAACCAGACAGAACUGCAUCAACAUCAGAGACAUUCAAAGAGCUCUUAGGAAUUCAGCAUUUAGACAGCCAACUACAAAUCCUGUGAUGUCAGUAGACCUGUGCUAGGACUGGUUUUGGCCUGGGUUUUACAUUUUAAAAACCUUGAAUAUGCAAUAUUAGAGGGGAAAUCUAAAAUCUGGGGGUGUCUACACGUGCCAUUAGGGGGGCAGCAAUAAACUGUGGAGCUUAUUGCUCUACAGUUUAUUCUUCCAUGGAAACUCCCAGGUGUGUGGUUUACCCAUGUGCCCAGACUGCAGUACACUGAGCCAGGUUGCAACAGCCUCCGCUGGCAGGGAGCACAAGGG